rnacentral:rRNA from 1 species
CCUACGGGUGGCAGCAGUGGGGGAUAUUGCACAAUGGGGGGAACCCUGAUGCAGCGACGCCGCGUGUGGGAAGACGGUCCUCUGGAUUGUAAACCACUGUCCCCAGGGACGAAAAUGACGGUACCUGGCGAAGAAGCUCCGGCUAACUACGUGCCAGCAGCCGCGGUAAUACGUAGGGAGCGAGCGUUGUCCGGAAUUACUGGGUGUAAAGGGAGCGUAGGCGGGGAUGCAAGUUGAGUGUAAAACCUACCGGCUAAACUGGUAGUCGCACUCGAAACUGCAGGUCUUGAGUGAAGUAGAGGUAGGCGGAAUUCCUAGUGUAGCGGUGAAAUGCGUAGAUAUUAGGAGGAACACCAGUGGCGAAGGCGGCCUGCUGGGCUUUUACUGACGCUGAGGCUCGAAAGUGUGGGGAGCAAACAGGAUUAGAUACCCGGGUAGUC